rnacentral:lncRNA from 1 species
GGAACUUACCCCCUCCUCCCCCGCUCCCCCACUGUUUCUAAAACGCACGUGAGGCAGCUGGGUUGGCAAUUUGUCAAUGCGUGACGAUUUGUGGUUAGCAAAGAUAAAGUGAUACAGAUCUCCUAUUUACCAACCCGAAAAAGUCCUCGUGCAUGCAAGAAUUUCUCCGAUUGGCGGUGGUGCAGCAAUCUGGAGAAAAAAUAAAAUUAAAUGGAGGUGGACGCUACACGAACUAACAAACAAAACA